CAUAAUUGCACAUUCACAGGCCACAUUUUGUCAUCGUUGGAUAUACAUAUAUGUAGAACAAACGGCGAACAUGCACUCUCAAGGACAGGGCCCACAAUCGCAGUCGUCGGCACAUUCCCUAUUGCAACAGCAAUCCAUUGUAACAAUCAACAGUGCAGUUGGGAAACAAAAUGAACAUCAGCAAUCCCUAUCAUCUGUCGGUUUACUGGAGUUGGCUCAUAGAGAAUACCAAGCUGUGGAUUAUGAAAGUGCAGAAAAACAUUGCAUGCAAUUAUGGCGUCAAGAUAGUACAAACACUGGAGUGUUGUUAUUGUUGUCAUCAAUUCAUUUUCAGUGCAGAAGGCUUGAUAAGUCUGCGCAAUUUUCUACUUUGGCAAUAAAACAAAAUCCUGUACUGGCUGAAGCUUAUAGCCCGAUUUUAUAAUGCCAAGUAGCGCCAAUAGGGGCAGCCCGUGUUGACCAUGCGGCCGAUGACAGAGUGGUAGUGGGUCUACCCAACAUCUGAGAGGUGAUGUCUACCAAUGUUAUUC
rnacentral:sRNA from 1 species